rnacentral:rRNA from 1 species
UGGGGAUAUUGCGCAAUGGGGGAAACCCUGACGCAGCAAUGCCGCGUGAAGGAAGAAGGUUUUCGGAUUGUAAACUUCUUUUGUUAAGGACGAAGAAUGACGGUACUUAACGAAUAAGCUCCGGCUAACUAUGUGCCAGCAGCCGCGGUAAUACAUAGGGAGCAAGCGUUAUCCGGAUUUACUGGGUGUAAAGGGUGCGUAGGCGGCUAAGCAAGUCAGAUGUGAAAUACACGGGCUCAACCCGUGAGCUGCAUUUGAAACUGUUUAGCUUGAGUGAAGUAGAGGCAGGCGGAAUUCCUAGUGUAGCGGUGAAAUGCGUAGAUAUUAGGAGGAACACCGGUGGCGAAGGCGGCUUUCUGGACUGUAACUGACGC